GACGAACGCUGGCGGCGUGCUUAACACAUGCAAGUCGAGCGGUAAGGCCCUUUCGGGGGUACACGAGCGGCGAACGGGUGAGUAACACGUGGGUGACCUGCCUUCAGCUCUGGGAUAAGCCUGGGAAACCGGGUCUAAUACUGGAUAUGACUCCAUGACGCAUGUUGUGGGGUGGAAAGCCUUGUGCGGCUGAGGAUGGGCCCGCGGCCUAUCAGCUUGUUGGUGGGGUGANGGCCUACCAAGGCGACGACGGGUAGCCGGCCUGAGAGGGCGACCGGCCACACUGGGACUGAGACACGGCCCAGACUCCUACGGGAGGCAGCAGUGGGGAAUCUUGCGCAAUGGGCGAAAGCCUGACGCAGCGACGCCGCGUGAGGGAUGACGGCCUC
rnacentral:rRNA from 1 species